rnacentral:rRNA from 1 species
CACGUAGGGUGCGAGCGUUGUCCGGAAUUAUUGGGCGUAAAGAGCUCGUAGGCGGUGUGUCGCGUCGGCCGUGAAAACCUGCAGCUUAACUGUGGGCUUGCGGUCGAUACGGGCAUCACUGGAGUUCGGCAGGGGAGACUGGAAUUCCUGGUGUAGCGGUGAAAUGCGCAGAUAUCAGGAGGAACACCGGUGGCGAAGGCGGGUCUCUGGGCCG